rnacentral:rRNA from 1 species
GACGAACGCUGGCGGCGUGCUUAACACAUGCAAGUCGAACGGAAAGGCCCUGCUUUUGUGGGGUGCUCGAGUGGCGAACGUGAGAGUAACACGUUAGUAACCUGCCCUUGACUUUGGGAUAACUUCAGGAAACUGGGGCUAAUACCGGAUAGGAGCUCCUGCGGCAUGGUGGGGGUUGGAAAGUUUCGGCGGUUUGGGAUGGACUCGCGGCUUAUCAGCUUGUUGGUGGGGUAGUGGCUUACCAAGGCUUUGACGGGUAGCCGGCCUGAGAGGGUGACCGGCCACAUUGGGACUGAGAUGAGGCCCAGACUCCUACGGGAGGCAGCAGUGGGGAAUAUUGCACAAUGGGCGGAAGCCUGAUGCAGCAACGCCGCGUGCGGGAUGAAGGCCUUCGGGUUGUAAACCGCUUUCGCCUGUGACGAAGCGUGAGUGACGGUAAUGGGUAAAGAAGCACCGGCUAACUACGUG